UCCGGCCCGAUCCUCCCACCCUUUGUGUACCUACCUCUGUUGCUUUGGCGGGCCGCGGUCCUCCGCGGCCGCCCCCCUCCCCGGGGGGGUGGCCAGCGCCCGCCAGAGGACCAUCAAACUCCAGUCAGUAAACGAUGCAGUCUGAAAAACAUUUAAUAAACUAAAACUUUCAACAACGGAUCUCUUGGUUCUGGCAUCGAUGAAGAACGCAGCGAAAUGCGAUAAGUAAUGUGAAUUGCAGAAUUCAGUGAAUCAUCGAAUCUUUGAACGCACAUUGCGCCCUUUGGUAUUCCGAAGGGCAUGCCUGUUCGAGCGUCAUUACAACCCUCAAGCUCUGCUUGGUAUUGGGCACCGUCCUUUGCGGGCGCGCCUCAAAGACCUCGGCGGUGGCGUCUUGCCUCAAGCGUAGUAGAACAUACAUCUCGCUUCGGAGCGCAGGGCGUCGCCCGCCGGACGAACCUUCUGAACUUUUCUCAAGGUUGACCUCGGAUCAGGUAGGGAUACCCGCUGAACUUAAGCAUAUCAAUAAGCGGAGGAA
rnacentral:rRNA from 1 species